rnacentral:rRNA from 1 species
GGAUUAGGCAUGCAAGUCGAACGAGGGAAUAUUCUUCGGAAUACAAAUCGAGUGGCGAAAGGGUGAGUAAUGCAUAGAUGACAUACCUCUAGGAUAAGAAUAGCUUUGUGAAAACGGAGAUAAUGCUUAAUAAUUACGAAGUAAAAUCAAUUUUCUUCGUCAAAGGGGGGGCAGCAAUGCCUCUUGCCUAGAGAGUGGUUUAUGUCCUAUCAGCUAGUUGGUGGGGUAAUGGCCUACCAAGGCGAAGACGGGUAGCCGGCCUUCAGAGGGUGGUCGGCCACACUGGGACUGAGACACUGCCCAGACUCCUACGGGAGGCUGCAGUCGAGAAUCUUUCGCAAUGCCCGAAAGG